AUUUUAUUUUUCUUUCAUCUUCUAUCUUGAUCAUUUAUAUAAUCUUACCAACCUAUGUUCAUGUCAGCAGGCCGAUCCAGAUAUUAUUUGUGUCAUGUACGAAAUACAAAAGAGUACUCUUUCAUUUCUAAGAAGCACACACAUAGGAAAAAGAUACAACCAUCAAUUGGAAAGAAACAAGUUAGGGUCUAACUGAGACUGAUAAGAUUAAUAUUGAGUCCAUGAGUGUGCUAAUAAUCAAGAAGUAACUUUCUUGCCUACUUGCUUGUGUUCUCGCACUCAGCCAUGAAGUACAAUAGCUACACGUUCUUCAUUGGAUUGUUGAGUUUCACUUCCAAUACUCAUUAUUGAGGCCAGAAAAUUCCCUUUAUAUUCCUCGAUAAAAGUACACCACUCAUCAAUGUAAGCUGUUUUAUCAGGAUCCAAGUUUGGCAUCUCAUGGUGCUGAAGAAUUUGUAGAAUAUCUUCUGUUUCUCCAAGAGGAGGGCAGCUUGAGGAACACUCUUUGCCUUUUCUUUUCGGAAUUAUGGUGGCAUUUCAUAGUUAUGACAUGUGGUAGAUUGGUAAGGGAAGCUGCUGAUAUAUCUGCAUUCACGACGAAUAAAUGGUUAAACAGUCCCUCAUUUGUUUCAUUAUUGCCACUGGCCAGAGAAAUAGUUCGGCUGAUCCAGUACAUUGAGUUAGCAGCUAUAAUCUUAACUAGCCAAUCCAGAGGGUUAUCCAUUAGGAAAUCGUUUACUUCUCUGACGAACUUCUUAAUAGUCCUUUCAGCUUCAUUGGAAAGCUCUUCUAAUGCUUCCUAGGAGGUUCUGCCUUGGAGAUUUGUUUUGCAGGCAUCCUUAUCUUGCCAGUUGCAAUAUAAAUCAACUUCUAACUAUACAACAUCCGCUGCAUUUCCGAUGAUUGCUAAAUCCACAUGUUCAUCGAGGCUUUUCUCUGUCAAUUUUAAUUGAAUGAUAAACUAAUAUAAAUAAAUCAUCAUUGGCUCGAUUGUGGAAAGGUCCCAGUAUGACAUAGAUAAUGCUGUUUGUACAUAGAGAAAGUGAAAAAAAAAAAAAAAAAAAAAAAAAAAAAAAGAAAAGAAAAGAAAAGAAAUUCAGUUAUUAUAAUCUCUCUCUUUUAUGUUAAGUCCAAAUAGCAUUACUCAUGGAACAAAGUAGUCACCAGUUGAGUAAUGGAGGGUGGGAUUGUUGAGCCCCAAGACUAGCAAAGAAAUCUCAAGCUUUUUCACUUGGCUCAUUAUUGUGUCCAUCUUUGGUCCUUGGAUUACAAGUGCUUCGACUUCAACCUGAGUAUUGCCAGGACAAAACCCAUGUUUUGUUUAGUUUGAAAGUAAGUAAAUGUUAUUUUAAGUAACUUUUAACUUGCCACUUUCAUCAGAAAACUAAGGUCAUAAUCUGAUAAAAGACAAAAACUCGCCUCAGGCUUACAGGCCUUGCAACGGGAUCCAAGUGAUGUAGCAAGACGAGGAGAGGAAAACACACAACUCAGAUUUCCAAGGACUAACAAUUUGGAGAAGAGUAUGAAUAUCACCCUUAUUAGUUACAUGUGUGAGUGUCCAAAUCAUUGCAUGUUUGGAAUGUGAAGACUGAUCCACCAUCACCAUAACUCUCUUUUUCAUUACCAACACACCAACGUUGUCACUGCUGCUGCUGUACAUGUUGUUAAGCCCUUCCAUUUGCUUCAGAUUUGGUACCAACCCACCUCCAAAAUCAUAACCAUUGAAGCUGGAGGGGCGGAGCUACAUGGAGUCCAGUGCAGGCAGAUGCCCGCACUGGAUUUUGAGUUUGACAGAAAAAACUCCAGUAUGCCUGUGGCUGCACUGCUACACUGAACCAGCCGACCAGGAAAGGAAGCAGAAAAGGGAAGAAGGAAAGUAGAGAGCAUGAACUGACAUAUGAGGAAGCUUGAAACAUAGUCGAAAUUUACAGUCGCCGGAAGGAAACACAGGCGCCAGAGAAUGGAGGUGGAAGGAAGAUGAAACGGGUACUUUUUUUUUCUUUUUAAAAUUGUGGGCUUUUCUUUUGGGCCACUUUUUUAAAAUUAGGCCCAAUCCACUACCUGGGUUUGUAUUGUUCAAUUGUAAUAUUUCACAAAUCAAUUGCAAUUUGCAAAACACGUCCAAGCAAUGUCAAACCCUGAUUUGACUUCACCGGUAUUUCUCAAGACCAAGCUGCAAAUGGGUUGUGAAAUUUACAGACAAUUCCACCUCCCAUUCCAUUCGUGACAUCUUAGAUCCCCUGGCUUUACUCGUACUUCUCACGACUUGAUAAUUGUAUUUUGUUUUCUGGGAUUUUUUUUUCAAUAUACUGAGUUUUCGAUUGAGCUGUUUGUUUUGAUUUAAUUACUUCAUUUGUUUUUAUAUGUAGGAUGAUUCUGCUGUGAGUGAACAGAAGGAGUAUGUUGAAGCAAAUUGGAAAUUCCAAGUAAUUUUUCUUGAAAUUUAUUUUAAUAUAAUUGAUUAUGAUAAAAAAUUAAACUCUUGUUACGAGGCUGAGGAGAUGUUGUAGUGAUAGAACUCGUAUCUACUAAGUUUUGGUUGAACUAAACUGAAGAUCUUAAGUUUUGAGUUAUCAAUGAAAAAGAAAACAAUUAGAUUAAUCAAUUAUUAGUUGUAUUAAUAAUCUCAUAUCAAUGUUUUUUUUUUAUCAUAAACUAAUUUUGCCCAAAAAAAAUCUCUAUAGCCGAUGCCUAAAAUUGUGCCCGCACUAGACAAAUCCUCUGGCUCCGCCCCUGGAAGCUGCCAUUGUUCGAUGCAUAGAAAAGGGAGAGCAAUGGAUGCAGUCAUGUGGAGGGUGAAUCACUGAUGAUAGAAAGCUAUGAUUUUCAUGAGCUUUCGUGCAGGUUCAAGUCACGGGAAAGUGGGAAACUUUGGCUUAUUGUGGCCCUUCGGUUAUCAAUGGCAAUAUAAACAAAUCAUUGACCCUUGUGUUUUAUUGACCAUAGUCAUUUUUUAGUAGCUUAAAUCAAAUUUGGAUAAAAUAUCACCUUGGAGCCUGGAAAGAAUGAUUGUUCGACCAAAAAUGAGUCGAGUCGAGUCAACGGAAGCAGGUCAAUUGGCUAUAGAAUAGGCUGUGAUCAACUAGCAUAAAUCAUCUUGGAGUUGACGGGAAUGUAGUUUAAACUACCAUGUCUAGUUGAGCAAGGUCAGGUAGCAUUUAUGAAAAUAAUGCUAAACACAAAACUUAGAAAAUUGUUACCAUUUUGAAAUGGAAUCGCCAAAGCUGGGUGAAAUUAUAAGUUCUUUUUUUUGAAAUCUAAAUAAAAUUUUGUGAGUUGGUGAGUCAUGCAUGCUAGUCUAUUGGUUAACUUAAUUUGCUUUUCAUUCAGUUAUCGGUAGUCAAGUAAAAAGUUAAAAGGCGUAGAGUCCUGAAACACAGCCAAUGGCCAUGAUGAUGAAAAUGAGUGGCUCGUGAGUUGGGCUUGGUACUUCCAAAUAAUUGCUCCCGUUAAAUUCGCUCAGUAAAUUUCUUCUGUGCAUUUCUUUUUUGCCCUGAUGAUUUAUUCAGUUUUUCGCUCCUUCAUUGUUAUGACAUGUUAGAGACCUUCACUUUAAUUUUCCCUUCAUUGUUAAUACAAGUUGACUUCGUAUUAUUAACAUAGACUCUGGUGUUGAAACUUGACCUAGUUCUAGUUUUCUACCAUGCUCUUUAUGAGACAAAUUUGUCCAUUCCUCAUACUUACAGGGACCUUUCCACAACCAAGCCAAUUAUGAUUUAUUUUUAUAAGUUUAUUAUUUAAUUUUAGAAAAAAAUACUUCAAAAUUAGUUGUAACCACUUCUUAAUUUUUGAAACAUAAACUUUAAGGCAAUUUUUAAUAUAAAAAUUUUGAAUAUCUUGAUCAAGCCUUCAAUUUUUUUGUUAAGCUUUCAUAAAGUUUUUCAGUUUUGUUUAAGAAUAUUUUUCACGAACAUUAUUUUGCACACUGUUGCUAUAACAUUGAUUUAGCAAGCGCUAUGUUAUAUACUCAAUUAAAAUUUAGAAUUAUGUAACUCAUUUUAAUUGUAAAUCUUAUUUAAUGUCACUUGGUAUCACCUAGACUAAGAAGAAAAUUGUGGUUUAAGAGUUCUCAGCUCAACGUGUUUGAGAACAUGCAAAAUGGUUGAAUUUAUACAAGUUCCUUGUGCAGUGGAGAUAAUUACAGACUUUCUCUAUUUUUAGCAAAUCUUAACAGAUUCCAAUUCUAGUCUAUAUCAAGCAUACAUAAGCUAGUAAUUUCCUGUAAUUGCUGAACUGACUUGGAAGACAACUUGGCUCGCUUGAUUGUUUUGCCAUAAAAAUUGAUUUAAUUAGGAGUGAAUCUUGGUAGCUAUGAUUGCCUUUCCAUUGCCUUAAAUACUUGCUUUGCUCUUGACUGUCUUGAUUGAAAUUCCAUUGAUCUGAUUAAUUGUAUGUGAUUGGGAUUCCUUUUGUGUGCACUCUGAUUUAUUUUCUUCCUUAUCUUUCCAUGAAUCCUGGUAGCUUUGAUUGCCUUUCCAUUGCUUUAAAUACUUGCUUUGCUCUCAAUUCUCUUAAUUGAAAUUCCAGUGAUCUGAUUAAUUGUAUGUGACUAGGAUUCCUUUUGUGUCACUCUGAUUUAUUUUCUUCUUUAUCUUUCCAUGUUUUGCGCUUGCUAAUACCCUCUCUCAACUUGUGACAGGGUUGGAGACACAACUUGCUGCGAAGAGAGUGUAAAUUGGGCUUGGGAAGAGCCUUUGUAAAGAUAUCUGCAAUCUGAUUCGCAGAAGAAACAUGGCGUGUGACAAGGUGACCAAGAGCAACCCGUUCCCGAACAAAAUGAUAAUCAAGUUCAAUAUGCUUGCUUCGGGCAUGAAAGACGGGGUUAACGGUCAUGUGUAGAGCAGUCAAAUUAUCACAAAAAAGAAUUGGUGGAGAACGAAGAAGAACUUUAAGAUCACGAAGGAGGAAAGCCAAGUAAGCUCAGCUGUGGUAUGAGCCAAGGAUCGAUAUUCAGCUUCAGUACUCGAUCCAGACAUCGUGCUUUGUUUCUUUGCACACUAGGAGAGAAGGUUCCGACCAAAAAAUGUGCAAUACCCAAUGGUGGAACAUCUAGUUGUGGGACAGCCUACCCAAUUUGCAUCAGAGAAAGCAAAGAGAUCAAGUGUAGACUAUGAGAAAAGCUGUAAUCCAAGAGAAAUCAUCCCUUUGACACAAUGUUCGCUAAAAUACUAUCGCAAGUGCACGGGUCGCGUCCAAAUAAUAAAGUGGACUGUUUAAGUCUGGAUUGUCGAUUCCUCGAGGAAUGUUUACUUUAAAUUACACAACUUCAAUCAAUUUAAUUCUAACAAUGAAAGUAAACGAACACAAU
rnacentral:lncRNA from 1 species